CACUCCCUUCUGCCAUGUAAACUCAUUUUCUCAUUUCCAAAUGAUUAUUUAAUGGGGUUUCUAAGUUUCCAUUGUGGUGGCGUUCCAACUUUAUUCUUGCUGUAGCUUCUGGCACUUUAGCCAAAGCAUUCACUCUCUUAGCUUGAGCCUACUAGCCUUGGGGUUGGGUUAUACCUUAAGUUUAGUUCUAUUGCUUUCCUUCCAUUUUCUUUUUCUUUACCUCCAUCUUGAGGUGGUAUACAUAUCUUGUUUGUGCGUGAACUUUUUCCUUCUCCAAUUGUUGUAGUGACUCGGUGGUGAGAGUCUCGUUCAUUGCUUGUUCCUUCAUAAUAUCUCCCUAGUUUACUAGGGGAAUUGAAAAUCUCAUGCCGCGAUUUAUUUACGAACUCCUUUACUCAUUUCUCAUUAUUCAUUUAUAAAUGACUUAAAUAAGCAUUUUAAACUCCAUUAAAAGGAAUUGAUUUAAAACAUUUUAAUCCUUUUAAAAUCCAUACUCAUAAAGCCUUAACUCAUGCUCUAUCUCAUAUUCUAUCUCUUUACUCAACUCUAUAUGAACUCUCCACUCUUCUCAAAUCCUUAAGUUCAAGGAUAGGUUUCAAGAAAAUCAUGGUACUAAGUCUCGAUUUAUCUCUCAUAUAAGGCUCGUCUAAUCUCAUUCAACACAUAGAUAACACAAUCACAUAAGGCACAUAAGAAAACACCAUCAAAUAUUAUCAAAACAUGCUCUGUUUUUACACUGACUCAACUUCAAAAUCUAACCUGUUCUUACUCCAACACCUACUGGACUCGAGACUCAUACCAAAAGAAAGAUCUUCGAGUCUAUUUUCAUAUAAAAAAAAAUAGAGUCAAAAACUCCAAGUAUUGUAGGAGAUAUGACUAUUUUACUACAGUCUACCAUAUUCGGCAGUUUUGAGCAAUCGAAAACUUGGAUUUUUUGAAAAACUAGUAAAUGUUGUCAAACUGGGCUCAAAUUUUGUGGAUAUCUAGUUAACACAAUAAGGUUAAUACCAUAAAAUUUUGGAAAGCUAGAUCACACAGGAAGCUACUGAAAUGAAUGACUCUUUCCCUUGCUCUCUGAAACUCUCGGUAGUAAUGUGCAGUUUCGGUUUUGUAUUUUAUAAAAAUAGUAAACGAAGUCCAAAUGACUUGAAAUUUUAUUGAUGUUCUCAAGACUCAUGUAGAGACUUGGUAUAAAAUGUUCAAAGCUUUUUGAUAUUGAAAAACCGUCGAUCACAGUAGGUCAGUAGGCCUAUGAAAUUUACCAAAAUCUCAUCUCAAACUCUUAAAAUACUCAACUCAACAUUUCUUCAAGGAAACUCAUCAAAACUCAUUUUAAACACAUAUAACACUCACAAACAUUUAAGCACAUUAUAAUGCUCAUCAUACUCAAAUCUUGACUCUCUUCUUACAUCAUAACCUCAAAUCUCUAGUAAAACGUUUCAAUGAACGCAUCAUUAAAAUUCUCUUCUCAUUUUCAUGCUCAAAAUUACUCAAAUACUCAAACACGAUCUCAUUCAUCAUAUAAAU
rnacentral:lncRNA from 1 species